GAUGAACGCUGGCGGCGUGCCUAAUACAUGCCAGUCGAGCGAACAGACGAGGAGCUUGCUCCUCUGACGUUAGCGGCGGACGGGUGAGUAACACGUGGAUAACCUACCUAUAAGACUGGGAUAACUUCGGGAAACUGGAGCUAAUACCGGAUAAUAUAUUGAACCGCAUGGUUCAAUAGUGAAAGACGGUUUUGCUGUCACUUAUAGAUGGAUCCGCGCCGCAUUAGCUAGUUGGUAAGGUAACGGCUUACCAAGGCAACGAUGCGUAGCCGACCUGAGAGGGUGAUCGGCCACACUGGAACUGAGACACGGUCCAGACUCCUACGGGAGGCAGCAGUAGGGAAUCUUCCGCAAUGGGCGAAAGCCUGACGGAGCAACGCCGCGUGAGUGAUGAAGGUCUUCGGAUCGUAAAACUCUGUUAUUAGGGAAGAACAAAUGUGUAAGUAACUAUGCACGUCUUGACGGUACCUAAUCAGAAAGCCACGGCUAACUACGUG
rnacentral:rRNA from 1 species